UACGGAAGGGGCGAGCGUUGUUCGGAAUCAUUGGGCGUAAAGGGCGCGUAGGUGGUUCUGUAUGUCUGCCGUGAAAGCGUACGGCUCAACCGUAUUUUGUCGGUAGAAACUGCAGGACUUGAGGCUGGGAGGGGCUGGUGGAAUUCCCUGUGUAGCGGUGAAAUGCGUAGAGAUGGGGGAGAACACUCGUGGCGAAGGCGGCCAGCUAGACCAGUUCUGACACUGAGGCGCGACAGCAUGGGGAGCAAACAGG
rnacentral:rRNA from 1 species